rnacentral:tRNA from 1 species
CAGGAAAUAUUUUAUAUAAAAUAUUAAUUUUGGGUAUUAAUGAAGGAAAUAAAUUCUUUCUUUGA